rnacentral:rRNA from 1 species
UGUGCAGGCGGUCGUUUAAGUUUGGUGUGAAAUCUCCCGGCUCAACUGGGAGGGUGCGCCGAAUACUGAAUGACUAGAGUGCGGGAGAGGAGAGUGGAAUUCCUGGUGUAGCGGUGAAAUGCGUAGAUAUCAGGAGGAACACCGGCGGUGUAGACGGCUCUCUGGACCGCGACUGACGCUGAGACACGAAAGCGUGGGUAGCAAACAGGAUUAGAUACCCUGGUAGUCCACGCCCUAAACGAUGCAUAUUUGGUGUGGGCAGUUCAUUCUGUCCGUGCCGGAGCUAACGCGUUAAAUAUGCCGCCUGGGGAGUACAGUCGCAAGGCUGAA